AUUGAACGCUGGCGGCAGGCCUAACACAUGCAAGUCGAGCGGAAGCAGGGAGCUUGCUCCUGGAUUCAGCGGCGGACGGGUGAGUAAUGCCUAGGAAUCUGCCUGGUAGUGGGGGAUAACGUCGGGAAACGGGCGCUAAUACCGCAUACGUCCUGAGGGAGAAAGUGGGGGAUCUUCGGACCUCACGCUAUCAGAUGAGCCUAGGUCGGAUUAGCUAGUUGGUGGGGUAAAGGCCUACCAAGGCGACGAUCCGUAGCUGGUCUGAGAGGAUGAUCAGCCACACUGGAACUGAGACACGGUCCAGACUCCUACGGGAGGCAGCAGUGGGGAAUAUUGGACAAUGGGCGAAAGCCUGAUCCAGCCAUGCCGCGUGUGUGAAGAAGGUCUUCGGAUUGUAAAGCACUUUUGGUUGGGAGGAAGGGCAGUAAGUUAAUACCUUGCUGUUUUGACGUUACCAACAGAAUAAGCACCGGCUAACUUCGUG
rnacentral:rRNA from 1 species